AAUGAACGCUGGCGGCAUGCCUAACACAUGCAAGUCGAACGAAGGCUUCGGCCUUAGUGGCGCACGGGUGCGUAACGCGUGGGAAUCUGCCCUUGGGUUCGGAAUAACAGUUAGAAAUGACUGCUAAUACCGGAUGAUGUCGUAAGACCAAAGAUUUAUCGCCCAAGGAUGAGCCCGCGUAGGAUUAGCUAGUUGGUGGGGUAAAGGCCUACCAAGGCGACGAUCCUUAGCUGGUCUGAGAGGAUGAUCAGCCACACUGGGACUGAGACACGGCCCAGACUCCUACGGGAGGCAGCAGUGGGGAAUAUUGGACAAUGGGCGAAAGCCUGAUCCAGCAAUGCCGCGUGAGUGAUGAAGGCCUUAGGGUUGUAAAGCUCUUUUACCCGGGAUGAUAAUGACAGUACCGGGAGAAUAAGCUCCGGCGAACUUCGU
rnacentral:rRNA from 1 species